UCAGUUGAUUGGAUUAUCGCGAGUGAGCAAUCAUUCGAGGAAAGUCCGGGCUCCACGGAUCAAAGUGCUAGAUAACGUCUAGACGGCGCGAGCCGAUGGAAAGUGCUGAAGAAAUUAAACCGCCUAAAGACGCAAGUCUCGGUAAGGGUGAGAAGGUGCGGUAAGAGCGCACCGUACACAAGGUGACUUCGUGUAGCUGAGGUAAACCCCACUUGGAGCAAGACCAAAUAGGAACACUGAUAGCGUGAUCCGCGCUGUGUUCGGGUAGGUUGCUUGAGGGUGGAAGUGAUUCCACUCCUAGAUGAAUGAUAAUUCUCGACAGAACCCGGCUUAUAGAUCGACUGAUACA
rfam:Wohlfahrtiimonas chitiniclastica SH04 genomic scaffold scaffold_00001, whole genome shotgun sequence.